UUCAAAACACCCAGGCAUCAGGUGGACCGAGAUAAUGUCAGGGAAGCUCAAUAGGGUUCCUCUCGGGCCCUAAUGAGAAACACAAAGGAACAAAUUAUGGAGACUUUCUAUAGAGCUUUCUGCAUUAGUCUUAUCCUUUGGAGUCCCAGUCAUCUUAGAGCUCAAAAUAAGUUUGUGAGCACUGCAAAGCAGAGGGGAAAAAAACAAGAAAGAAAGAGACUCACCAUCUAGCCAGCUGCGUAGAAAAGGAAAUCCAUUCCCACCUGUCUGCGUUUGAUUGAACCUCAGUGAACUGCCAAUGCCACACUCCCUGGAAGAAACAGAUUAAAGACCUACAGGAGACGUCUUAUAGAUCUUCUUAGACAGCCCGUUUGGAUGGAGUGCCCACUGUGUGCGAGGCCCCAUGCUGGGUGCCGAAGGGAUCUCUGGCAGGAGGGUGGAGAUGAGAUGACGGAGAUGACGCUCUGCCCUACAAGUUUAUGAGUGGCCCUACAGGUGUGAUAACUGUGUGGAUCCAGCUCAUUGUUUACACCCAGGUCUUUGGGAGUAAAAUAGUCCUUAAUCCAGUUUUCCCAGUCAUCCCUCAUACUUUAGGUAAGGGUAGAGGUAUAUAA